UACGGAGGAUGCGAGCGUUAUCCGGAUUUAUUGGGUUUAAAGGGUGCGUAGGCGGGUUAUCAAGUCAGCGGUAAAAUCGUGGAGCUCAACUCCAUCCAGCCGUUGAAACUGAUGAUCUUGAGUGGGCGAGAAGUAUGCGGAAUGCGUGGUGUAGCGGUGAAAUGCAUAGAUAUCACGCAGAACUCCGAUUGCGAAGGCAGCAUACCGGCGCCCGACUGACGCUGAAGCACGAAAGCGUGGGUAUCGAACGGG
rnacentral:rRNA from 1 species